rnacentral:rRNA from 1 species
AGAGUUUGAUCAUGGCUCAGGAUGAACGCUAGCGGCGCGCUUAACACAUGCGAGUCGUGCGAUCGGCUUAUUCCAAUUUCCUUCGGGAAAGCGGAAUAAGCACGGAGCGGCAAACGGGUGAGUAACGCGUAGCUAACCUACCUUGGGGAGGGGCAUAACCCUGGGAAACCAGGGCUAAUACCCCAUAAGAUCAGAGGACCCAAGUCCACUGAUCAAAGGACCUUUCGGUUCACCCCGGGAUGGGGCUGCGUCCCAUUAGCUAGAUGGUGAGGUAAAGGCUCACCAUGGCCAUGAUGGGUAGGGGGCGUGAGAGCGCGACCCCCCACACUGGAACUGAGACACGGUCCAGACUCCUACGGGAGGCUGCAGUGGGGAAUCUUCCACAAUGGGCGCAAGUCUGAUGGAGCGACGCCGCGUGGGGGAAGAAGGCCUUCGGGUUGUAAACUCCUUUUCUGGAGGACGAACAAGGUAGGCAGGCAAUGGUCUACCCUUGACGGUACUCCAGGAACAAGCACCGGCUAACUUCGUGCCAGCAGCCGCGGUAAAACGAAGGGUGCAAGCGUUAUCCGGAAUCACUGGGCGUAAAGGGCGUCUAGGCGGCCCGUUAAGUCGGCGGUGAAAGUCCUCGGCUCAACUAAGGAAAGUCCGUCGAAACUGACAGGCUAGAGGAACACAGAGGGAGGCGGAACUCUCGGAGUAGCGGUGGAAUGCGCAGAUACCGAGAGGUACCCCGAUGGCGAAGGCAGCCUCCUGGGUGUUUCCUGACGCUGAAGCGCUAAGGCCAGGGGAGCCAAGGGGAUUAGAUACCCCCGUAGUCCUGGCUGCAAACGAUGUGAGCUAGGUAUCGGGCCCAUGAAGAGGCUCGUUGCCGUAGCUAACGCGUUAAGCUCACCGCCUGGGGAUUACGUCCGCAAGGAUGAAACUCAAGGGAAUUGACGGGGGCCCACACAACCGGUGGAGCACGUGGCUUAAUUCGAUGAUAAGCGAAGAACCUUACCAGGGCUUGACAUACCGGUAGUAGAACCCCGAAAGGGCGCCGAGCCUGGCUUCGGUCAGGCAACCGGUACAGGUGGUGCAUGGCUGUCGUCAGCUCGUGUCGUGGGACGUUGGGUUAAGUCCCGUAACGAGCGCAACCCCUGCUCUUAGUUGCCAGCGGUUCGGCCGGGGACUCUAAGAGGACUGCCGGAGAAUAUCCGGAGGAAGGGGGGGAUGACGUCAAGUCAUUAUGCCCCUUAUGCUCUGGGCGACGCACGUGCUACAAAGGCCACUACAAUGGGGAGCGACCCCGCGAGGGCGAGCAAAUCCCAAAAAGGUGGUCUCAGUGCGGAUUGGGGUCUGCAACUCGACCCCAUGAAGAUGGAAUCGGUAGUAAUCGCGGGUCAGCCAUACCGCGGUGAAUAUGUACUUGGGCCUUGCACACACCGCCCGU